UACGAAGGGGACUAGCGUUGUUCGGAAUCACUUGGCGUAAAGCGCACGUAGGCGGAUUUGUAAGUCAGGGGUGAAAUCCCGGGGCUCAACCUCGGAACUGCCUUUGAUACUGCGAAUCUUGAGUCCGAUAGAGGUGGGUGGAAUUCCUAGUGUAGAGGUGAAAUUCGUAGAUAUUAGGAAGAACACCGGUGGCGAAGGCGGCCCACUGGAUCGGUACUGACGCUGAGGUGCGAAAGCGUGGGGAGCAAACAGG
rnacentral:rRNA from 1 species